rnacentral:rRNA from 1 species
GUGGGGAAUAUUGCACAAUGGGCGCAAGCCUGAUGCAGCAACGCCGCGUGGGGGAUGACGGCCUUCGGGUUGUAAACCUCUUUUAGUAGGGAAGAAGCGAAAGUGACGGUACCUGCAGAAAAAGCACCGGCUAACUACGUGCCAGCAGCCGCGGUAAUACGUAGGGUGCAAGCGUUGUCCGGAAUUAUUGGGCGUAAAGAGCUCGUAGGCGGUUUGUCGCGUCUGCUGUGAAAUCCCGAGGCUCAACCUCGGGCCUGCAGUGGGUACGGGCAGACUAGAGUGCGGUAGGGGAGAUUGGAAUUCCUGGUGUAGCGGUGGAAUGCGCAGAUAUCAGGAGGAACACCGAUGGCGAAGGCAGAUCUCUGGGCCGCUACUGACGCUGAGGAGCGAAAGCAUGGGGAGCGAACAGGAUUAGAAACCCGUGUAGUCC